GGGGACGAGUGGUUUCGACAGGGGAAACAGGGUCCUAGAUUUGCAGGCCGAGGUGCCAUCGCCCUCGUAAAACAGGUGGCACAAAAUAACUGGCACCCAAGCCGUCUCCAUCGCUGCCUAAAGAGCAGUGAGCCUGCCUCAAGCUUCGCCUCGAUGGGCUGAGGUGGGUCCGAGAAGUCGAGGUGCGGCAGCCCUGACGUCGAUAGGGGUUGCUCAAGAAGGAUCGACUGGCCCCGCCACCCCUCGUCGGUUGGGGUUGGCAGGGGCGAGAUGAAACAGCCGACUAAGCUUGUAGCAUAAUCUGGGCCGGGUUCUCCUGGACGGGGAGUUCGACUCUCCCCCGUCUCCACCA
rnacentral:tmRNA from 1 species